ensembl:snRNA U1 U1 spliceosomal RNA
ACACUUCCCUGGCAGGGGAGAUACCUUGAUCACAAAGGUGGUUUUCUCAGGACGAGGCUUGUCCAUUGUACUCCGCAUGUGCUGACCCCUGCGAUUUUCCCAAAUGUGGGAAACUCGACUGCAUACUGUGUGGUAGUGGGGGACUGCGUUCCCGCUCUCCCCUG